UCCUGUUAACUCUUAAUAAACUUACACAUGCAAGCAUCUACACCCCAGUGAGAAUGCCCUCUAGGUUAUUAAAACUAAGAGGAGCUGGCAUCAAGCACACACCCUGUAGCUCACGACGCCUUGCUUAACCACACCCCCACGGGAAACAGCAGUGACAAAAAUUAAGCCAUAAACGAAAGUUUGACUAAGUUAUAUUAAUUAGGGUUGGUAAAUCUCGUGCCAGCCACCGCGGUCAUACGAUUAACCCAAGCUAACAGGAGUACGGCGUAAAACGUGUUAAAGCACCAUACCAAAUAGGGUUAAAUUCUAACUAAGCUGUAAAAAGCCAUGAUUAAAAUAAAAAUAAAUGACGAAAGUGACCCUACAAUAGCCGACGCACUAUAGCUAAGACCCAAACUGGGAUUAGAUACCCCACUAUGCUUAGCCCUAAACACAGAUAUUACAUAAACAAAAUUAUUCGCCAGAGUACUACUAGCAACAGCUUAAAACUCAAAGGACUUGGCGGUGCUUUAUAUCUUCUAGAGGAGCCUGUUCUAUAAUCGAUAAACCC
rnacentral:rRNA from 1 species